rnacentral:misc_RNA from 1 species
CGCACAUCGCGCCCUUUGGCAUUCCGAGGGGCAUGCCUGUUCGAGCGUCAUUACACCACUCAAGCCUGCUUGGUAUUGGGCCACGGGGGUGACCCGGGCCUGAAAGUCGUCGGCCGGACCGCCUGAAUCUCAGCGUCGUGAAUCAAAUUCGCUGGCGAGAAGGACGGUCCGCGCCGUUAAAACUUUCGUUAUGGUUGACCUCGGAUCAGGUAGGGAUACCCGCUGAACUUAA